rnacentral:tRNA from 1 species
GAAAGUUCAAAUUAGAGCUUGAAAGAAAGCAUUUCAUUUACACUGAACCUUUAACUGUGCAAUUCAGUUUAAUUUG